UACGGAGGGUGCAAGCGUUAUCCGGAAUCACUGGGUUUAAAGGGUGCGUAGGCGGAGUAUUAAGUCAGUGGUGAAAUCCUGUCGCUUAACGAUAGAACUGCCAUUGAUACUGGUAUUCUUGAAUUGGGUUGAGGUUAGCGGAAUGUGACAUGUAGCGGUGAAAUGCAUAGAUAUGUCAUGGAACACCAAUUGCGAAGGCAGCUAACUGGGCCUUGAUUGACGCUGAGGCACGAAAGCGUGGGUAGCGAACAGG
rnacentral:rRNA from 1 species